rnacentral:rRNA from 1 species
GACGAACGCUGGCGGCGUGCUUAACACAUGCAAGUCGAACGGAAAGGCCCUGCUUGUGUGGGGUGCUCGAGUGGCGAACGGGUGAGUAACACGUGAGUAACCUGCCCUGGACUGUGGGAUAACUUCAGGAAACUGGGGCUAAUACCGGAUAGGAGCUCCUGCUGCAUGGGGGGGGUUGGAAAGUUUCGGCGGUUGGGGAUGGACGCGCGGCUUAUCAGCUGGUUGGGGGGGUAGUGGCUUACCAAGGCAUUGACGGGUAGCCGGCCUGAGAGGGUGACCGGCCACCUUGGGACUGAGGUACGGCCCAGACUCCUACGGGAGGCAGCAGUGGGGAAUAUUGCACAAUGGGCGGAAGCCUGAUGCAGCAACGCCGCGUGCGUGAUGCCGGCCUUCGGGUUGUAAACCGCUUUCGCCUGUGACGAAGCGUGAGUGACGGUACUGGGUAAAGAAGCACCGGCUAACUACGUG